rnacentral:rRNA from 1 species
UACGUAGGGACCAAGCGUUGUUCGGAUUUACUGGGCGUAAAGGGCGCGUAGGCGGCGCGGUAAGUCACUUGUGAAAUCUCUGAGCUUAACUCAGAACGGCCAAGUGAUACUGCAGUGCUAGAGUGUGGAAGGGGCAAUCGGAAUUCUCGGUGUAGCGGUGAAAUGCGUAGAUAUCGAGAGGAACACCUGCGGCGAAGGCGGGUUGCUGGGCCGACACUGACGCUGAUGCGCGAAAGCCAGGGGAGCGAACGGG